GCCUGAUGCAGCCAUGCCGCGUGUAUGAAGAAGGCCUUCGGGUUGUAAAAGUACUUUCAGCAGUGAGGAAGGCGGAGUCGUUAAUAGCGGCCUCGUUUGACGUUAGCUGCAGAAGAAGCACCGGCUAACUCCGUGCCAGCAGCCGCGGUAAUACGGAGGGUGCGAGCGUUAAUCGGAAUUACUGGGCGUAAAAGCGCAUGCAGGUGGUUUGUUAAGUCAGAUGUGAAAGCCCGGGGCUCAACCUCGGAAUUGCAUUUAGAAACUGGCAGACUAGAGUACUGUAGAGGGGGUAGAAUUUCAGGUGUAGCGGUGAAAAUGCGUAGAGAUCUGAAGGAAUACCGGUGGCGAAGGCGGCCCCCUGGACAGAUACUGACACUCAGAUGCGAAAGCGUGGGGAGCAAACAGGAUUAGAUACCCUGGUAG
rnacentral:rRNA from 1 species